UUUCCACCAUGAAGAAAUGGAUGGAGGGGACGGGGUGCGGUGGGCAUUUGCUUCUGCAAUCGCGAACGAUGUCGAGGACGGAAGCCCUGCAAUCACAUUACAAAUGAAUUCCACUGCCAUUGAUCGAUUUCAAGUUCUUCUUCUACACUUCAUUCUCACGGAGCAGAAAGAAGAAGAAAAAUCGACGCAAUUCAAUAUAGGUAUAGUGGUGGAAGUCGAUGAUUUUUUUUAAUAAUGCUUUAUUUUAAACUUAUUCUAAAUAUAUAUCAACCCCAAACUAUUUCCUAGAAUAAUGUUUGGAAAAUUAUAGGUCGUCCCUCCACUCCACAAUUUCCGAGUUGCAUGGUGUCUUGUUGGCGUCAUAUAUAUAUAUAUAUAUUUUAUUCUGGCA